CAUUUAACCAUGUGUGAUAUGUAUUGAUAGGGUAGGAAGAUAGUAUAAAAACAAAGUGAAAAUGAGAGACAAAAUAAAAGAUGUUUCAAAUGGCACGUAACAUGUUAUCAACACAUCAAACAUUUGUCUUAUUGAGUUUCUCCAUGCUGGCUGGCCAGAAAUAAAACAAGACAUCCACAACCACACGUCUUACAUUGUAUUCUCAAGCCUUCAUUCUCCUCUUGCUUGUUUUUCACACCCUUCUUCCCUUUUCAUAAUGGCUCAGAAGGUGGUGUUAAAGGUCCUUACUAUGACGGAUGACAAAACAAAGAAGAAAUCAAUAGAAGCAGUUGCAGAUAUCUAUGGAGUUGAUUCAAUCGAGACAGAUGUUAAUGAACAGAAGUUA